rnacentral:lncRNA from 10 species
GGGAUUCUGCUUUUGCAUCUUCCUCGUUUUCUCUUGCCGCUGCCAAGUAAGAAGUGCCUUUCACCUCACACCAUGUUUCUGAGGCCUCCCCAGCCAUGUGGAACUGCAAGUCCAGUUAAACCUCUUUUUCUUCUCAGGUUCCAAAAUUAUUUUAGGCAUGGGAUCAAAGAAGAAACUUCUUUGUAGCAGCAUCCCAGUACUAGGACUUUUUGUCUCUGCAUGGAAAUCUGAAUAUAUUUAUAUGUUGGAGUGACAUCUCUACAGGAAGCCUAGAGACCUAACUGUUUGCUACAUGUCACCAAAGUUAAAGUGGCUACCUUAAUGAGCAGCCAGGAUGCCAUCAUCUCCGACCUGAAUGACAAUAACCUCCAAACCAGCCUUUGUAUACUCCUUCCUGCUGCUCUGCAGUCCACUUCCACAGACCAGCCAACUGAAUCUCCUUAUAGAUUCAUAAUGGCCAUCAGCACAAAGAUGUUUUAUCUGCAGUCAACCAGUCAUGUUUCAUGAUGGCAUCAAAAUGUGCUGGAAAAGGUCAGAGAAAAUCAUCAUCAUAAAGUGAAGUGAUUUUCUUCUUUAUGAGCUCCUGAUGUAAACAGACUGAUGAGCACAACACAAUCCUUACUCACCCACAUGACAUCAUACACAAUCACAGCUAAAUGUUUCUAUCUGUCAAAGCCUGAAGAGUGACUACCAGAUUGUUGCCUGAUUGAUUUGACAGUUUGGUCUACAUUUCAAGGCUGGUUAGAUGGGAGGUAUGUCCUGGUAUAUUAGUUAAUUUAGGUAUAUCUUACUGAUUUACAUUGCAUGAUUUAUCAGAUGCUAUUGACUCAUUCAAGUAAAUACAUUUAAAAAUUAUACCUUUUGCUCAUACUAG